AAAGUACUCCCUCUGUCCCAAAAUUCUUGCCUUAGAUUUGUCUAGAUACAGAUGUAUCAAGUCACAUUUUAGUAUUAGAUACAUCUGUAUCUAGACAAAUCUAAGACAAGAAAUUUGGGACAGAGGGAGUAGUUG
rnacentral:pre_miRNA from 1 species